rnacentral:rRNA from 1 species
UACGUAGGCAGCAAGCGUUGUUCGGAAUUACUGGGCGUAAAGAGUGUGUAGGCGGUGCUCUAAGUUCGGUGUGAAAUCUCCUGGCUUAACUGGGAGGGUGCGCCGAAAACUGGAGUGCUCGAGCGUGGGAGAGGAAAGCGGAAUUCCUGGUGUAGCGGUGAAAUGCGUAGAUAUCAGGAGGAACCCCGGAGGCGAAGGCGGCGCUCUGGCUCGCAACUGACGCUCAGACACGACAGCAUGGGGAGCGAACGGG